GAUGAACGCUGGCGGCGUGCCUAAUACAUGCAAGUCGAGCGAACGGACGAGAAGCUUGCUUCUCUGAUGUUAGCGGCGGACGGGUGAGUAACACGUGGAUAACCUACCUAUAAGACUGGGAUAACUUCGGGAAACCGGAGCUAAUACCGGAUGAUAUUUUGAACCGCAUGGUUCAAAAGUGAAAGACGGUCUUGCUGUCACUUAUAGAUGGAUCCGCGCUGCAUUAGCUAGUUGGUAAGGUAACGGCUUACCAAGGCAACGAUGCAUAGCCGACCUGAGAGGGGGAUAGGACACAAUGGAACAGAGACACGGUCCAGACCCAUACGGGCGGCAGCAGUAGGAAAUGUUCCGAAAUGGGCGGAAGCCUGACGGAGAAACGCCGCGUGAGUGAUGAAGGUCUUCGGAUCGUAAAACUCUGUUAUUAGGGAAGAACAUAUGUGUAAGUAAAUGUGAACAUCUUGACGGUACCUAAUCAGAAAGACACGGCUAGCUACGUG
rnacentral:rRNA from 1 species